rnacentral:rRNA from 1 species
UACAGAGGGUGCAAGCGUUGCUCGGAAUCAUUGGGCGUAAAGGGUAGGUAGGUGGUCUCAUUUGUCUGGGGUGAAAGCCCAGGGCUUAACCCUGGAGGUGCCCCGGAAACGGUGAGACUGGAGUCCUGGAGAGGGUCGUGGAAUUCCCGGUGUAGCGGUGAAAUGCGUAGAGAUCGGGAGGAACACCAGAGGCGAAGGCGGCGACCUGGACAGGUACUGACACUCAACUACGAAAGCGUGGGGAGCAAACAGG